rnacentral:lncRNA from 1 species
GUUCUCGUUUGCAUUUCCCUGAUGACCAAGGACGUUGACCACUUCUUCUUGUACGUAUUGGCCAUCUGUAUAUCUUCUUUUGUGAAGUGUCUGUUCAAAUCUUUUGCCCAUUUUUGGGGAAUUGUCUUUUAUUAUUUCUUAUUCUUGUUGGAGUUCUUUGUAUAUCCCGGAUGCCAAUCCUUUGUCAGAUAUAUGUUUUGCAAGUAUUUUGUUCUAGGUUGAGAUUAAUCUAUUACGUUUUGUAAGGGUAUCUUUUUGAUGAGCAGACAUUUUUAAUUCUGAUGAAGUCUAAUUUCUCAAAAAGUUUUAAUGGUUAUUGCUUUCUUUGAUCUAAGAAAGUUUUGCUUACCGCCCAAGUCAUGAAGAUAUUCAUCCAAGUUUUCCUCUAAAAGCUUUACAGUUUUAGCUUUUACAUUUAGGCCUAUGAUUCAUCUCAAAAAAAUGUUUGGGUAUGAUGUGGGGUCAAGAUUCAUGUUUUUCCCAUUCCUAGUUGUUCCAGUACCCUUUCGUUGAUAAAAUUUUUGUUUCCCCAUUUGACUGGGUUGGCACUUUUGUUGAAAAUCAAAUGACGGCGUGAGUGUCACUCUCUUCCUAGGAUCUCUUUUCUGUACAGACUUGAGCCAAUUUUUUGCCAUGGGCUCAGUAUUGCCAGAUUUUCCAAAUUUUAGAAGACAGCAUAGAAACCCAGAUUGUUUUAAACGAGGAAAAGUCAAAACUUUAAAAAAGUUGAAAACCAAUUCCAGUUUAAAUGAACAAAUUACAAAGAAACCAACCUGUGCAGCCAAGGGAGCCGUUCGCACAGCGUGUUUUUACGGUGGCCAAGCAUGCCAGGCUGCCAGCCGUGUCUGUCAGACAGAAUGUUGCUUAAACUGGCUGGGCCACACGGAGCUCGCACAGCUGACUGCACGGAAGCGAAAAUAAGCAAGGCUGCAUUCAAGGCAGAUUGAAGUUUGUUGGAACUUGCUAGAACCUUGCCUCGGUUCUUGCCUUGGAGGAAAUUCUUCUAUUCAAACCAUGACGUGGUGCUUGUUACAGACUGAAUACUUGUGUCCCCUCAAAAUUCAUAUUUUUGUUUUUUGAAAAAUAAAAUACUGCAAUGGAGAUCAUUUCUUGUGAUUACAUUUUAGUAGAAUUAGAAAAAAGGAACAAAAAUGGAAGGAUAAAUCAGAAGUCCUUGCCAGACACCAAAUUUGCCGGAACCAUCAAAUUCAUCUGCUGAAGCCCUAACCCUCAAUGUGAGGGUAUCUGGAGGUGGGGCAUGUGGGAGGCAGUUGGGCUCAGAGGAGGUCAUGAGGGGGAGGCCCCCAUAUGGGGCUGGUGUCCUUGUAACAAGAGGAAGGGCCCAGAGCUCUCUCUGCUAUGUGAGGGCAGAGCAAGAAGACGGACGUCUGCACGCCGGGAGGUGGGCCCUCACCAAGAUCCCAGCCAUGCUGGCACCCCCCCAGACUUCCAGCCUCCAGAGCAGUGAGAAAUAAAUACCUGCCGUCCAAGCCACCCAGUCUACCAUAUUUUGUGAUGGCAGCCUGGGCUGAUGAAGAACAAAAAGUGAGCUGUGAGAGAACAGUGAAAAGAUUUUCAGUUCUCUGAAAUUUAAUUUUGAUUGCUUGUAACUGCUUCGCUGUAUUUUAAUCGCGCUGUAUUUGGAAGUGUGGGUUCCCACCGUGAGGCUGAGAGCCGCUGGUCUGGAGGAAAGGCCUGUGGAGGAAGGGCAGUGACCACAGCGACAGGGCUAUUAAGCACUUGAAGCCUGUGACAAGCAACAAGCCUGUGAUUGACGUGCGACCACAGGGGUGAUGAACUUUGCUUGUCUCAAACUGUGCGCGGGAACUUUGUCUCAAACUGCGCGCACGCUCUGGCCAUUGCUAACCUCUCAUCUGGGAAGACCUGAAGGGGAGAACGAAGGGGAAGCUUGGCCACGGACACAGGCACACAAGGAGGACGCUACGUGAAGAUGAAGGCGGGGACUGAGGUGACACUCCUACAACAGAGGGACACCAAAGAUGGCCAGCAAACCCCAGAAGCCAGGGGAGAGGCGUGGAACAGAUGCUCCCUCGCAGCCCUCACAAGGAACCAACUCAGCUGACACCCCGAUCUUGGCCUUCUAGCCUCCAGAACCGCGAGACAGUAAAUCUGUGUUGUUGAAGCCAU